CCAGAUAUGGUUCAACAAGCCAGUGUGACCUCUUUCAUAAGUACAACAGCUGCAAUUUCUAAUGAAGCCUUAUUUCAACGUGGGUUUGAUUUAGUGCCUACUGAUGCUACACAACAAACAAAUGAAGCUGCUCAACAUACUGCAAAUCACUGCUCAUCGAUGUCCAACAGAAAAUCAACUCCAAAAACAAAAAAAAAAUGCACAUCGCAGAUAAGAGUCCAUCUAUACAUACAAAUUCAAACUCAUUUCCUGCACUUACCAAUGUCAAUAAUGAGGAUGGAAUCUGGACUGGAGAGAAUUUGCAGAUGGCCAAUGAUCAUAUUUCUCCAACCAUACCUUCCUCCAGGUCACAUGUGGAGACAACUACAAAAGAUUAUGGAGAACCUUCAACCUCCACUGGAAAUAACAAACAAGUAAUUCAAGCUAAGAUGAGGGACAUGGUCAAUAAAUCAAAACUAUGGAAAGACCAACGAGAUUUUGACGAUGAGGAGGGCUGGGGAGAAGGACUUGCUGGUUAUUCUUCUUCAGAAGACGACCAAGAGUUUGAUGACGACAGUGAAGGAGAGGACAUUGAUGCUCAAUUUAAGCCAAAAUUUCAAAGGAAAUCAGCGACAAUCAAUUGUCCUGCAAAUCUGCAACCUGCAGCAAACACAAACAGCAACCUGAACCAUAACGCUCCAGUAUUUGUUCCAAGAAAUACUACAAGAUCAGGCGAAACACAGCUGUUGAUAGAAACACAACAGCACUACCAACAUCUGCCCAGAUACAGAUUAUACCAAUAAAAUCAAUCACUACUUUGGAGGAGAGGAAAAUGUCGGAUGCAAUGAGGCAACCAUUCCAUACAACACAACGCCAGCAAAGGAUUGCAACAACACCAACUAAUUUUCCUUCUGUCGAUAACAAAACAAUACCAUUUUCACAGACGGGGCAGCACCAGCUUGUAUCAACAGCUCCAGAAAUCACUCUACAGGAUAGACAACUAGUGGAUGCGAGGGCAGGAAGACAUAUAUAUUGAGAAGGGGAGGAAGAGGAUAUCUUAACGCAAUGCCAGGCAGACGCGUCAAGAAAAGGUGAUUUGUCAACAAUGCAUAGUAAAACAAGUAAGAAGUGUCGUAAAAGGGAUAGAAGUUGGGACGACAGGGUGUUUGAAGACGCAAACAUAAGGAGACCCCCAAUGAGAAAUGCAAAACAAAAACAGGUCACUCAAACAAUUCUUACAAAGUCCAAUAGAUCGAGGAACAAAGCAUGAAUUUUGAAGUCAUAUUGAGAAAAAUUAUGGACGAAGACAUUAAUCUACAAACUGAAUUUUUCACAAAAUAGGAGAAAAGAGAGCACCAAGAUGGCUUCUUCAACUUUUUAUUUUUCCAUCUUAUUAGUAUUAUUCUAUGUAAUAUCAUCAAAGAGCAUGUUAUAAACUCUGUGAUGAUCAUACUUUUCUUAGUUCUUGCUACUUCUUUCUUUUUACAUGCUUGUUAGUUCAGGAGGUUUUUAUUGGCCUCAAUAGGAUUAAUAAGGUAAGAUUCACGCCGGUUGUUGUUAUAUGGGUAACAAGACCUCUGCUAGUCCCCCCUUAUUUUAUUAUUCCUAUUUGUUGUAAUUUUUAAUUUCUUAUUAUUAAUGAAAACUAACCCUAGGCGCUUACCUAGUGGAUUGCCAAAAAAAGAAGUUAAGUACUAUAGGUAUCUUAAGGUUGAUAAUUUGAGCCCAUUUGACUUGUCCAAUUCGCAAAGGGUUGUUGCUGGUCGUUGACCCGCUCAUUUGGUGAAUUUAAUUCAUCUUGACCCAAUUCAAUUUUAACCAGUCAAAAGUUAAGCUGAUUUUUAGUCCAAACUGAUCUAUGGGUAACUUUGCUAAAAUAUCUUUAAAAUAAUAUUUUUUUCUUUUGAUAUGUUUUAUACGGCCACAACAAAAGAAAAAAGUCUUAUUUGAUAAUUAAAAUUUUCAUAAAAAAUUAAUACAAAUCAAUUAAAGCUUGGUAAGAAUUAGACGGAUUGAAUUAUGAACUCAAAUUUUAGCCCAACUUGACCCAGUCCAUCUCAACCCAAAUUACUUAAUUUAUUGACUCAACCUAUUUUGACUCUGUGAUCACCCGGUAGACAAUCUAGAGUUUUAAACCUUAAUUUGGUGUCACACCCCCUUUUUAAACCAAACUCUACUAAACCCUCUUAAAUAAAUAAAAAGAUUUAAUAAAAGUUUGAAAAGGGUUCUUCAUUUUUGAAAGUGACAAAAAUUUGUUUCAAAAGGAAAUAAACUCAGAGUCACCACCUGACGUUGGUUUGGUGUGUCAGGUCACCGUUUGUUUUUCUAUAAUAUAAUAAUUUUCCUUUGAAAAUAUUUUGAACUCCAAAACUAAGUCUGCACUAGAGAUUUGGGUAAGGGGGUUCAUUUGACUCGGAGACAAUAUGUUAGGCACUCCCAUACUUCCGUGAAGGUUGCGUACUCGAUGUAGAUGACUUUUAAAAUAUUCAAGUUGAGGCAAAAACCCACAAAAAGAGACUAAACAAUCAAAGAGGCUCGAGGUUGUCCCCACUUAAUAAAGAAAAAACAAAAGCAAAAAUAAAGUACUAUUCUAUGCUUCCUCGAGUUAUUUCAUCUUUGGCCUUCAUUUACAUUCACUUCGAGGCAUACCCGGAUAAUAAUAUAUACAAACUUCACGGGGCAUCCCCGGAUAAAUUUAACUACAGGAAUAACCUCUCACCUUAUAUCCGAACACUGUAAAUUAAAAUAAACUUCCUAAAAGUUUCCCUACCCAAAUAAUAACAGCCUAGACAUGCUCCUAAUGUCACAUACAAAUAAAUAAAAUUAAAAUAAGAGCAAGAUAAUUACUUAUUUAAAGCCUAAUUCUCUUUUUAGCUUCAAAUCAACUUCCUCGACCAAAACACAUUCCAAUUUUACAAACCUGAUCCCAACUCACUGAUCACUUCUAAUUAUGGGCGGAAUUACCAGAACGACCCAUUUACAGUUAGAGUCACCAUAAGCAAAACUCUUUCUUAAUUAACCAAUGCAACCUACGUUAAAUGACAAUUUUUAGCAUGCGAGUUCAAGAUAACAGUGAUAUGAGCAUCAACUAGGCAUGAAGAUUAAUGAAAGAAACAUCACAUUCGGAGAAGCAAAACUUCAUUCAUUAACAUAUAAAUGCACAAGACGUCAAUGAAAGGAACAUCAUAUUCAGAGAAGCAAAACUUCAUUCAUUAACAUAUAAAUGCACAAGACGUCAAUUUAUAUUAACCAAGAACAAGUUAAGAAACAGACCUUAUAUAUUUUUUCCAAAUAAAAUCUGAAAUGCGACAACGGAAAACUUAAACAACGGACAACGCGACAGAACUGCGAUUCUGCUCGGAAACAUCGAACCCGACACCGACUUCUCACUCAAACUCCAUAAUCAUUUGUUUGUGUUUAUCUUUGAAAUUGUGAAGAGGAGCAGCAGUAAAGUUUGAAGAUCAAAAAACUGUCCCCUCUCUGUCGUCUUGAUGUGGACAUGAGGGUGUGUGAUGACGAAGGGAGGCGACUGGUCUCCGGCGAGCUCGACUGGUUUUUCCGGCGAGGCAGUAACAGAGAAAAGGAAUAGGGGGAACGGAGAGGGAGAGAGAAGGGAAUGAACGUGAGGGACUGGGGCGUGGCCGGUGUGGUUGUGUGUUGAAAAAUAGGGCAGUUUCUAGCGGCGUCUGUUGGUUGGUCUAGGGUUUAGUUGCUAGCUUUUUCCGGCGAGAAUGGUAGGGAUCGGGCUUAGGCGGCUAGGGUUUUUUGUAAUGUUUGUCUCAUGUACUCCUAUCCAUGGCUGCCCUUGUCUAUUAAGGUUCUAAGGUCUAGGAUUUUCUUUUGUAGUCUUGUUAAAGAAGAAAGUGGGUAAGGAAGAAAGGAUAAUGGGUUGGGUCUCCUUGGGCCUUCAAAUUGGG
rnacentral:lncRNA from 1 species